CCUAUUAUUGGGUUUUGACUGACCAAACUAUGAUUGAUGAAGUAUUUGAAAUAGAGGCUUCAAAACUUCCAUGUUAUUUUGCGUUGGACUCUAUUUCUUCGUGUCACACUGUUGCUGAUACAGAAAAGUUCAUAAGUAAUGCAUUGUGGAUUAAACUAUUUUCUUUGUGAUGGGUACGACUAUAUCUGUAUGUUGUGGUUUUCACCGGUCUUUUUUUGGACCUUGGCAGAUAUCAUGGGAAUUGUUCUCUGUGUCUUUCCUGCCAGGGAGGUUUAUUUUGAAGGGGGACCAUCUGUUGCG
rnacentral:lncRNA from 1 species